GACGAACGCUGGCGGCGUGCUUAACACAUGCAAGUCGAACGGAAAGGCCCUGCUUUUGUGGGGUGCUCGAGUGGCGAACGGGUGAGUAACACGUGAGUAACCUGCCCUUGACUUUGGGAUAACUUCAGGAAACUGGGGCUAAUACCGGAUAGGAUCUCCUGCUGCAUGGUGUGGGUUGGAAAGUUUCGGCGGUUGGGGAUGGACUCGCGGCUUAUCAGCUUGUUGGUGGGGUAGUGGCUUACCAAGGCUUGGACGGGUAGCCGGCCUGAGAGGGUGACCGGCAACAUUGGGACUGAGAUACGGCCCAGACUCCUACGGGAGGCAGCAGUGGGGAAUAGUGCACAAUGGGCGGAAGCCUGAUGCAGCAACGCCGCGUGCGGGAUGACGGCCUUCGGGUUGUAAACCGCUUUCGCCUGUGACGAAGCGUGAGUGACGGUAAUGGGUAAAGAAGCACCGGCUAACUACGUG
rnacentral:rRNA from 1 species